rnacentral:rRNA from 1 species
UACGAAGGGGGCUAGCGUUGCUCGGAAUCACUGGGCGUAAAGCGCACGUAGGCGGAUUGCUAAGUCAGGUGUGAAAUUUCGGAGCUUAACUCCGAAACUGCAUUUGAUACUGGCGUGCUUGAGGACUGGAGAGGAGACUGGAAUUCAUGGUGUAGCAGUGAAAUGCGUAGAGAUCAUGAGGAAGACCAGUGGCGAAGGCGGGUCUCUGGACAGUUCCUGACACUGAGGCACGAAGGCCAGGGGAGCAAACGGG